rnacentral:lncRNA from 1 species
UCACACCACAUGUGUUGAUGCAUAGUGGGUAAAAACCCAAGAUCUAUAGAGUCUAAUCUGUGGAGAGAGUUCCAUCUUUCUGAACUCCCACACCUUCUGAUAUUCAAAUGCUCUCCCUGACCAGGGAUAAGAGCAAUGAGGCACACCCCUCAUAUCCUUUCAUCUGCUUCACCUUAGCCCCUCAAUGGCAAGGUUAAGA